GGCAGGGCGGCUAUACUGCAGUCGAGCGGACCAAGGGAGCUUGCUCCCAGAGGUUAGCGGCGGACGGGUGAGUAACACGUGGGCAACCUGCCCUGUAGACUGGGAUAACAUCGAGAAAUCGGUGCUAAUACCGGAUAAUCAAAGGAAUCACAUGGUUCUUUUGUAAAAGAUGGCUCCGGCUAUCACUACGGGAUGGGCCCGCGGCGCAUUAGCUAGUUGGUAAGGUAAUGGCUUACCAAGGCGACGAUGCGUAGCCGACCUGAGAGGGUGAUCGGCCACACUGGGACUGAGACACGGCCCAGACUCCUACGGGAGGCAGCAGUAGGGAAUCUUCCGCAAUGGACGAAAGUCUGACGGAGCAACGCCGCGUGAGUGAUGAAGGUUUUCGGAUCGUAAAGCUCUGUUGUUAGGGAAGAACAAGUGCCGUUCGAAUAGGUCGGCACCUUGACGGUACCUAACCAGAAAGCCACGGCUAACUACGUGCCAGCAGCCGCGGUAAUACGUAGGUGGCAAGCGUUGUCCGGAAUUAUUGGGCGUAAAGCGCGCGCAGGCGGUCUUUUAAGUCUGAUGUGAAAUAUCGGGGCUCAACCCCGAGGGGUCAUUGGAAACUGGGAGACUUGAGUACAGAAGAGGAGAGUGGAAUUCCACGUGUAGCGGUGAAAUGCGUAGAUAUGUGGAGGAACACCAGUGGCGAAGGCGACUCUCUGGUCUGUAACUGACGCUGAGGCGCGAAAGCGUGNGGAGCAAACAGGAUUAGAUACCCUGGUAGUCCACGCCGUAAACGAUGAGUGCUAGGUGUUAGGGGUUUCGAUGCCCUUAGUGCCGAAGUUAACACAUUAAGCACUCCG
rnacentral:rRNA from 1 species